rnacentral:lncRNA from 1 species
CAAUGGUAUAUGACUCCAAGAAGAAGGUGAUAUAUAAGGCAGAUUUAAAGGAAACAGACCCCUCUCUCUGGUGCCAGAGACAACCCAGGAAAGAGGCAGUGUUUUUCCCCUCACAGGUGAUGGAGUUUGUAUAAAGAAUAAAGC